GAGAGCUUGCUCUCUGAUUUUAGCGGCGGACGGGUGAGUAACACGUGGGCAACCUGCCCUACAGAUGGGGAUAACUCCGGGAAACCGGGGCUAAUACCGAAUAAUCAGUUUGUCCGCAUGGACAAACUCUGAAAGACGGUUUCGGCUGUCACUGUAGGAUGGGCCCGCGGCGCAUUAGCUAGUUGGUGGGGUAAUGGCCUACCAAGGCAACGAUGCGUAGCCGACCUGAGAGGGUGAUCGGCCACACUGGGACUGAGACACGGCCCAGACUCCUACGGGAGGCAGCGGUAGGGAAUCUUCCACAAUGGACGAAAGUCUGAUGGAGCAAUGCCGCGUGAGCGAAGAAGGUUUUCGGAUCGUAAAGCUCUGUUGUAAGGGAAGAACACGUACGGGAGUAACUGCCCGUGCCAUGACGGUACCUUAUUAGAAAGCCACGGCUAACUACGUGCCAGCAGCCGCGGUAAUACGUAGGUGGCAAGCGUUGUCCGGAAUUAUUGGGCGUAAAGCGCGCGCAGGCGGUUCUUUAAGUCUGAUGUGAAAGCCCACGGCUCAACCGUGGAGGGUCAUUGGAAACUGGAGAACUUGAGUACAGAAGAGGAAAGCGGAAUUCCACGUGUAGCGGUGAAAUGCGUAGAGAUGUGGAGGAACACCAGUGGCGAA
rnacentral:rRNA from 1 species